rnacentral:rRNA from 1 species
UACAGAGGAGCCAAGCGUUGUCCGGAUUGACUGGGCGUAAAGCGCACGCAGGCGGUCGCGCGCGUGGGGUGUGAAAUCUGGCCGCUUAACGGCCAGGGCGCCAUCCCAUACGGCACGACUGGAGUGAUGCAGAGGUCGAUGGAAUUGCCGGUGUAGUGGUGAAAUGCGUAGAGAUCGGCAGGAACACCCAGGGGGAAGCCAGUCGACUGGGCAUCUACUGACGCUGAGGUGCGAGAGCGUGGGGAGCGAACCGGG